UACGUAGGCAGCGAGCGUUGUUCGGAGUUACUGGGCGUAAAGAGCGCGCAGGCGGCUGGCCAAGUCCGAUGUGAAAUCUCCCGGCUUAACUGGGAAACUGCAUCGGAAACUGACCGGCUUGAAGGUGGGAGAGGGUAGUGGAAUUCCCGGUGUAGUGGUGAGAUGCGUAGAUAUUGGGAAGAACACCAGUGGCGAAAGCGGACUUCUGGGUAGUUACUGACGCUGAGGUACGAAAGCGUGGGGAGCAAACGGG
rnacentral:rRNA from 1 species